UGGGGAAUCUUGCGCAAUGGGCGAAAGCCUGACGCAGCCAUGCCGCGUGAAUGAUGAAGGUCUUAGGAUUGUAAAAUUCUUUCACCGGGGACGAUAAUGACGGUACCCGGAGAAGAAGCCCCGGCUAACUUCGUGCCAGCAGCCGCGGUAAUACGAAGGGGGCUAGCGUUGCUCGGAAUUACUGGGCGUAAAGGGCGCGUAGGCGGAUCGUUAAGUCAGAGGUGAAAUCCCAGGGCUCAACCCUGGAACUGCCUUUGAUACUGGCGAUCUUGAGUAUGAGGGAGGUAUGUGGAACUCCGAGUGUAGAGGUGAAAUUCGUAGAUAUUCGGAAGAACACCAGUGGCGAAGGCGACAUGCUGGCUCAUUACUGACGCUGAGGCGCGAAAGCGUGGGGAGCAAACAGG
rnacentral:rRNA from 1 species